GACGAACGCUGGCGGCGUGCUUAACACAUGCAAGUCGAACGGAAAGGCCCUGCUUUUGUGGGGUGCUCGAGUGGCGAACGGAUGAGUAACACGUGAGUAACCUGCCCUUGACUUUGGGAUAACUUCAGGAAACUGGGGCUAAUACCGGAUAGGAGCUCCUGCUGCAUGGUGGGGGUUGGAAAGUUUUGGCGGUUGGGGAUGGACUCGCGGCUUAUCAGCUUGUUGGUGGGGUAGUGGCUUACCAAGGCUUUGACGGGUAGCCGGCCUGAGUGGGUGACCGGACACAUUGGGACUGAGAUAAGGCCCAGACUCCUACGGGAGGCAGAAGUGGGGAAUAUUGCACAAUGGGCGGAAGCCUGAUGCAGCAACGCCGCGUGCGGGAUGACGGCCUUCGGGUUGUAAACCGCUUUCGCCUGUGACGAAGCGUGAGUGACGGUAAUGGGUAAAGAAGCACCGGCUAACUACGUG
rnacentral:rRNA from 1 species